GAUGAACGCUAGCUACAGGCUUAACACAUGCAAGUCGAGGGGCAGCAUGAUUGAAGCUUGCUUCAAUUGAUGGCGACCGGCGCACGGGUGAGUAACACGUAUCCAACCUUCCGUACACUCAGGGAUAGCCUUUCGAAAGAAAGAUUAAUACCUGAUGGUAUCUUAAGCACACAUGUAAUUAAGAUUAAAGAUUUAUCGGUGUACGAUGGGGAUGCGUUCCAUUAGGUAGUAGGCGGGGUAACGGCCCACCUAGCCUACGAUGGAUAGGGGUUCUGAGAGGAAGGUCCCCCACAUUGGAACUGAGACACGGUCCAAACUCCUACGGGAGGCAGCAGUGAGGAAUAUUGGUCAAUGGACGAGAGUCUGAACCAGCCAAGUAGCGUGAAGGAUGAAGGUCCUACGGAUUGUAAACUUCUUUUAAUAAGGGAAUAAAACCUCCACGUGUGGAGCUUGUAUGUACCUUAUGAAUAAGCAUCGGCUAACUCCGU
rnacentral:rRNA from 1 species